rnacentral:rRNA from 1 species
UAUGUGAUCGUCUCUCGCAUAUCAAUAAGCGGAGGAAAAGAAACUAACAAGGAUUCCCCUAGUAACGGCGAGUGAAGCGGGAAGAGCUCAAAUUUGAAAUCUUAAAGGGUUUCCCUUUACGAAUUGUAGUUUAAAGAAGUGUUUUCUGUUGAGGUUUUGGUAAAAGUUCUUUGGAAUAGGACAUCAUAGAGGGUGAGAAUCCCGUAUUUGACCUUUACUUUCAACUUUGUGAUACACUUUCAAAGAGUCGGAUUGUUUGGGAAUGCAGUCCAAAAUGGGUGGUAAAUUUCAUCUAAAGCUAAAUAUUGGCGAGAGACCGAUAGCGAACAAGUACCGUGAGGGAAAGAUGAAAAGAACUUUGAAAAGAGAGUUAAACAGUACGUGAAAUUGUCAAAAGGGAAGCGUUUGACACCAGUGUUGUUUUUCUGAAAAUCAAUUAAAGAACUGUUUAUGCUAAGCUGUUUAGACUUUAUCAGCUAACUGUUUAGUCUUGAGCUUUUCUUUAAUGCACUUUUCAGUUAACAAGUCAACAUCAAUUUCUUUUGCUGUAAAAAAGCUUGAGGAAGGUGGCUUGAGAUUCGUCUUAAGUGUUUAUAGCCUCUUGCCUAUGCAGUCGGAGAGAUUGAGGUCUGCAGCGUAGAUCCUUCGGGGCUAAAUGCAUUUGUGCUAAGUUAUAGCAUUUUAUAGACAACUUGUUGACUAUGAUUUGUCUUGUAGCUUACUCGCUUAUGUUAUUUUACCUACGCUUAGGAUGUUGAGUAGCGACAUACGCAC